UACGGAGGGUGCGAGCGUUAAUCGGAAUGACUGGGCGUAAAGCGCACGCAGGCGGUCUGUUAAGUCAGAUGUGAAAUCCCCGGGCUCAACCCGGGAACUGCAUUUGAAACUGGCAGGCUGGAGUCUUGUAGAGGGGGGUGGAAUUCCAGGUGUAGCGGUGAAAUGCGUAGAGAUCUGGAGGAAUACCGGUGGCGAAGGCGGCCCCCUGGACAAAGACUGACGCUCAGGUGCGAAAGCGUGGGGAGCAAACAGG
rnacentral:rRNA from 1 species